UGGGGAAUUUUGCACAAUGGAGGAAACUCUGAUGCAGCGACGCCGCGUGAGUGAUGAAGAUCUUCGGAUUGUAAAACUCUGUCCUUAGUGAAGAUAAUGACAGUAACUAAGAAGCAAGCCCUGGCUAAAUACGUGCCAGCAGCCGCGGUAAUACGUAUGGGGCAAGCGUUGUCCGGAAUUAUUGGGCGUAAAGGGUACGUAGGCGGUUUAAUAAGUCCUAAUUAAAAGGCUAUGGCUCAACCAUAGUAUGGUUGGGAAACUGUUGAACUUGAGUAGAUGAGGGGAAAGUGGAAUUCCAUGUGUAGCGGUGAAAUGCGUAGAUAUAUGGAGGAACACCAAUGGCGAAGGCAACUUUCUGGAAUCAAACUGACGCUGAGGUACGAAGGCGUGGGGAGCAAACAGG
rnacentral:rRNA from 1 species